rnacentral:rRNA from 1 species
GACGAACGCUGGCGGCGUGCCUAAUACAUGCAAGUAGAACGCUGAAGAGAGGAGCUUGCUCUUCUUGGAUGAGUUGCGAACGGGUGAGUAACGCGUAGGUAACCUGCCUUGUAGCGGGGGAUAACUAUUGGAAACGAUAGCUAAUACCGCAUAACAAUGGAUGACACAUGUCAUGUAUUUGAAAGGGGCAAUUGCUCCACUACAAGGUGGACCUGCGUUGUAUUAGCUAGUAGGUGAGGUAAUGGCUCACCUAGGCGACGAUACAUAGCCGACCUGAGAGGGUGAGCGGCCACACUGGGACUGAGACACGGCCCAGACUCCGACGGGAAGCAGCAGUAGGGGAUCUUCGGAAAUGGGGGCAACCCUGACCGAGCAACGCCGCGGGAGUGAAGAAGGUUUUCGGAUCGGAAAGCUCUGUUUUAAGUGAAGGACGGGUGGGAGAGUGGAAAGUUCACGCUGUGACGGUAGCUUACCAGAAAGCGACGGCUAACUACGUG